rnacentral:rRNA from 1 species
AACGCGAAGAACCUUACCCAGGCUUGAACAGCGAAUGACAACUCCUGAAAGGGAGCUUCCGCAAGGACAAUCGUAGAGGUGCUGCAUGGCUGUCGUCAGCUCGUGUCGUGAGAUGUUGGGUUAAGUCCCGCAACGAGCGCAACCCUUGUCUGCUGUUGCCAUCACGUUAUGGUGGGCACUCUGCAGAGACUGCCGGUGAUAAACCGGAGGAAGGUGGGGAUGACGUCAAGUCAGCAUGGCCUUUAUGUCUGGGGCUACACACGUGCUACAAUGGCAGAUACAAACCGUCGCGAGACCGCAAGGUGGAGCUAAUCGGAGAAAGUCUGUCUCAGUUCGGAUAACAGGCUGCAACUCGCCUGUUUGAAGUUGGAAUCGCUAGUAAUCGCGGAUCAGCACGCCGCGGUGAAUACGUUCCCGGGCCUUGUACACACCGACGCGUA